rnacentral:tRNA from 1 species
GUGGUCGAGGCCGAAGCGGUCGAGGCACUCGCUUGUGGAGCGAGACGAAGUGGGUUCGAGUCCCACCGGCCACCCCA